UACGGAGGGAGCAAGCGUUAUCCGGAUUUACUGGGUUUAAAGGGUGCGUAGGCGGGCAUGUAAGUCAGUGGUGAAAUACCGGAGCUUAACUUCGGAACUGCCAUUGAUACUAUAUGUCUUGAAUAUUGUGGAGGUAAGUGGAAUAUGUCAUGUAGCGGUGAAAUGCAUAGAUAUGACAUAGAACACCGAUUGCGGAGGCAGCUUGCUACGCAAAUAUUGACGCUGAGGAACGAAAGCGUGGGGAGCAAACAGG
rnacentral:rRNA from 1 species